rnacentral:rRNA from 1 species
GGCAGCAUGGGCGCAAGCCUGAUGCAGCCAUGCCGCGUGUAUGAAGAAGGCCUUCGGGUUGUAAAGUACUUUCAGCGGGGAGGAAGGGAGUAAAGUUAAUACCUUUGCUCAUUGACGUUACCCGCAGAAGAAGCACCGGCUAACUCCGUGCCAGCAGCCGCGGUAAU